AUGGCUCAGUGGUUAAGAGCACUUGCUUCUUUUGCAGAAGACCUGGGUUUGAUCCCCAGU
rnacentral:tRNA from 1 species